rnacentral:lncRNA from 1 species
CAACAGUUCAGAUGAAAAUAUCCCAUUCCUAACUCCUUCCCUGACAUUGCCCAAGUGGCAGGAAGAAUUAUUUGAGAUGAAUUCCUUGGUUUUUAAAUUGAUUUUGUGUCCCGUAGGUUUCCUCCGUAAAGUGGGGAUAAUCCGCAUGAGGAUGCAAAAAUGUAACAGUUAAUGCCGGCAGUAAGCUCUGAAGAUAAGUACCUUAAAGAGAGUGGAGGAAUUGGCAUCUAACACAAUUCAAAAGGGUCAGGCCCUUGUGGGGAGCUGGAGGUCAACACCAGGCUGCAGCAUGCUGCCACAUGCAGUCUCUCGCCAGGUGACCUGGAGAACAUGCUGCUUGCUUUUCUGCCUCAUCAGGCUUGUUCAUCCAUGCUAAGACUAGGCUUACCAAGAGCACAGAUCAACGAGACCAAUAUGGUACUCAUCCCUUCCUUUGAUGGGCCCAUACAAAUUAAUGUGCUUGCACAAGACGGGGCCCUGGGACAGCUGUCUCCUGUAGGCAACGGAUGCUAUUCCCAGCAGGAGUGCUAG